ensembl:processed_transcript
GGUACAGCUCCUGGAUGCCCCUCCAGGACAGGAGGUAAAAGGAUCAGUGUUCCUCAGAAACCCAAAGGGUGGUUCCUGCUCCCCAAAGAAGGACUUUAAGCUGAGCUCGGGAGAUGACUUUGUGCUGCUCAGCCUUGAGGUCCCACUGGAAGAUGUGAGGAGCUGUGGCCUCUUUGACCUGCGCAGAGCCCCCCACAUCCAGCUGGUAGCUCAGUCUCCGUGGCUAAGGAACACAGCUUUCAAAGCCACAGAGACUCAGGGUGUCAACUUGCUCUACUCUUCCCGACGAGGCCACAUCUUUGUGCAGACCGAUCAGCCUAUCUAUAAUCCGGGGCAGCGGGUUCGUUAUCGGGUCUUUGCACUGGAUCAAAAGAUGCGCCCAUCCACUGAUUUCCUCACCAUCACAGUGGAGAACUCCCAUGGCCUCCGUGUACUCAAGAAGGAGAUAUUUACUUCCACAUCCAUCUUACAAGAUACCUUCACCAUUCCAGACAUCUCAGAGCCUGGGACCUGGAAGAUCUCAGCUAGGUUCUCAGAUGGACUGGAGUCCAAUAGGAGCACCCACUUUGAAGUGAAGAAGUAUGUCCUUCCCAACUUCGAGGUGAAGAUUACUCCUUGGAAGCCAUAUAUCCUGAUGGUGCCCAGCAACAGUGAUGAAAUCCAAUUAGACAUCCAGGCCAGGUACAUCUAUGGGAAGCCCGUGCAGGGCGUGGCAUACACACGGUUUGCGCUCAUGGAUGAGCAAGGGAAGAGGACUUUCCUUCGGGGCCUAGAGACGCAGGCCAAGUUGGUGGAAGGCCGGACCCACAUUUCCAUCUCAAAGGACCAGUUCCAGGCUGCCCUGGAUAAAAUCAAUAUUGGGGUCAGAGACCUGGAGGGGCUGCGUCUCUAUGCUGCUACAGNNNNNNNNNNNNNNNNNNGAGGAGAGAUGGAGGAGGCAGAACUCACGUCCUGGCGCUUUGUAUCAUCUGCCUUUUCCUUGGAUCUCAGCCGCACUAAGCGGCAUCUCGUGCCUGGAGCCCACUUCCUGCUGCAGGCCUUGGUCAGAGAAAUAUCAGGCUCUGAAGCCUCUAACGUUAUUGUCAAAGUUUCUGCCACAUUGGUGUCAGGCUCUGAUUCCCAAGUCCUCAACGUUCAACAGAGCACCAAUAGAAUUGGCCAAGUCAGCAUUUCCUUCCCCAUCCCACCAACCGUCACAGAACUUCGGCUCUUGGUGUCUGCGGGCUCCCUCUACCCAAUGAUAGCCAGGCUCACCGUGCAAUCCCCACCUUCAAGAGGCACUGGCUUUCUUUCUAUUGAGCCACUAGACCCUCGGUCCCCUCGUGUGGGGGACACCUUUAUCCUANAUCAUCUCCAGAGGCCAGAUCAUGGCUAUGAGUCGGGAGGCCCGGAGGACCGUGACCUCUGUCUCCGUGUUGGUGGACCAUCAGCUGGCUCCUUCAUUCUACUUCAUGGCUUACUUCUAUCACCAAGGACACCCGGUGGCCAACUCUCUGCUCAUCAACAUCCAGCCCAGGGACUGUGAGGGCAAGCAAAAGAGAAAUGUUAACUUCCAGAAGGCUGUCAGUGAGAAGUUGGGCCAGUAUUCUUCUCCAGAUGCCAAGCGCUGCUGCCAAGACGGGAUGACGAAGCUGCCCAUGAAGCGUACCUGUGAGCAGCGGGCUGCCCGUGUGCCUCAGCAGGCCUGCCGUGAGCCCUUCUUGUCCUGUUGCAAGUUUGCUGAGGACCUUCGCAGGAACCAGACCAGGAGCCAGGCACCCCUUGCCCGAAAGGUCCGGGACAUGGUGAAUUUGAUAGAGGAAGAUGACAUUCUUGUGCGCACCUCCUUCCCAGAGAACUGGCUCUGGAGAGUGGAACCUGUAGACAGCUCCAAACUGUUGACAGUGUGGCUUCCUGAUUCUAUGACCACAUGGGAGAUUCAUGGUGUGAGCCUGUCCAAAAGCAAAGGUCUGUGUGUAGCCAAGCCAACUCGUGUUCGAGUGUUCAGAAAAUUCCAUUCACCUGCGCCUGCCCAUCUCCGUCCGCCGCUUUGAGCAGCUUGAAUUACGGCCUGUUCUCUACAACUAUCUGAAUGAUGACAAGAACAAGGAAGGAGCCAUCCACAGAGAAGAGAUAGUCUACAACCUCGACCCCCUAAAUAACCUAGGUCAGAUGUUGGAGAUACCUGGCAGCUCGGAUCCCAACAUAGUCCCUGAAGGAGACUUCAGCACCUUUGUCAAGGUUACAGCCUCUGAACCCUUGGAGACUCUGGGCUCUGAAGGAGCUUUGUCCCCAGGAGGCGUGGCCUCCCUUCUGAGGCUUCCCCGGAGCUGCGCAGAGCAAACCAUGAUCUAUUUGGCUCCUACCCUGACUGCUUCCAACUACCUGGACAGGACAAAACAGUGGAGCAAACUGUCCCCUGAGACCAAGGACCAUGCUGUGCAUCUGAUCCAGAAAGGCCACGUUCGGAUCCAGCAGUUUCGGAAGAAAGAUGGCUCCUUUGGGGCUUGGUUACACCGGGACAGCAGCACCUGGCUGACUGCCUUUGUGCUGAAGAUUCUGAGUUUGGCCCAGGAACAGGUGGGCAACUCCCCGGAGAAGCUGCAGGAGACGGCUAGCUGGCUGCUGGCCCAGCAGCUGGGUGAUGGCUCCUUCCACGACCCAUGUCCAGUCAUCCACAGAGCAAUGCAGGGGGGCUUGGUGGGGUCCAAUGAGACGGUGGCACUGACCGCCUUUGUGGUCAUUGCCCUUCACCACGGGCUGAACGUCUUCCGGGAGGGGCAUGCGAAGCAGCUGAAGAACAGAGUGGAAGCCUCCAUCACCAAGGCAAACUCUUUCUUGGGGCAGAAGGCAAGUGCUGGGCUCCUGGGUGCCCAUGCCGCCGCCAUCACAGCCUAUGCCCUUACGCUGACCAAGGCCUCGGAGGACCUGCGGAAUGUUGCCCACAACAGCCUGAUGGCCAUGGCUGAGGAAACGGGGGAAAACCUCUACUGGGGCUUAGUCCUUGGCUCUCAGGACAAAGUUGUGUUGCGCCCCGCAGCCCCCCGUAGCCCAACAGAACCUGUGCCCCAGGCCCCAGCCUUGUGGAUCGAAACCACAGCCUAUGCCCUGCUCCACCUGCUUCUGCGUGAGGGAAAGGGAAAAAUGGCUGACAAGGCUGCAUCCUGGCUCACCCACCAGGGAAACUUCCACGGGGCAUUCCGCAGUACCCAGGACACUGUGGUCACCCUGGAUGCCCUGUCUGCCUACUGGAUCGCUUCACACACCACUGAGGAGAAAGCACUGAACGUGACGCUCAGCUCCAUGGGCCGCAAUGGGCUCAAAACCCACGUGCUACACUUGAACAACCACCAAGUCAAGGGCCUGGAGGAGGAGCUGAAGAUCCUUCGUACCUACAACGUCCUGGACAUGAAGAACACCACAUGCCAGGACCUUCAGAUAGAAGUGAAGGUCACAGACGCUGUGGAAUAUGCAUGGAGCGCCUACGAAGACUAUGAAGACGACUAUAACAUGCCAGCCACAGAUGAUCCCAGCGUUCCCUUGCAGCCUGUCACGCCCCUGCAGCUAUUUGAGGGUCGUCGGAGCCGCCGCAGGAGGGAGGCCCCCAAGGUGGCUGAAGAGCGGGAGUCCAGAGUUCACUACACUGUGUGUAUCUGGCGCAAUGGCAAGCUGGGGCUGUCUGGCAUGGCCAUCGCAGACAUCACCCUCCUGAGUGGAUUCCACGCCCUGAGGGCUGACCUGGAGAAGCUGACCUCUCUCUCUGACCGUUACGUGAGUCACUUUGAGACUGACGGGCCCCAUGUCCUGUUGUACUUUGACUCGGUCCCUACCACCCGGGAGUGUGUGGGCUUUGGAGCCUCGCAGGAGGUGGUUGUGGGACUGGUGCAGCCAUCCAGUGCUGUCCUGUAUGACUACUACAGUCCUGAUCACAAGUGCUCUGUGUUUUAUGCUGCACCCACCAAGAGCCAGCUCCUGGCCACACUGUGCUCUGGAGAUGUAUGCCAGUGUGCCGAGGGGAAGUGCCCUCGACUGCUAAGGUCACUGGAGCGAAGGGUGGAGGACAAGGACGGCUACCGGAUGAGGUUCGCCUGCUAUUAUCACCAAGUGGAGUAUGGCUUCACGGUUAAGGUUCUUCGAGAAGAUGGCAGAGCUGCCUUCCGUUUCUUUGAGUCCAAGAUCACCCAAGUCCUGCAUUUCAGAACGGACACCAUGGCCUCCAUAGGUCAGACCCGCAACUUCCUGAGCCGGGCCUCUUGCCGCCUUCGUUUGGAGCCUAACAAAGAGUACUUGAUCAUGGGGAUGGACGGGGAAACCAGUGACAACAAGGGAGACCCCCAGUACUUGCUGGACUCAAAUACCUGGAUUGAGGAGAUGCCUUCGGAACAAAUGUGCAAGAGCACCCGCCAUCGGGCAGCCUGUUUCCAGCUCAAAGACUUCCUGAUGGAGUUCAGCAGCCGGGGGUGCCAGGUGUGAGGCCUUAGGACUCUGGCUCUCUGAGCUCAGCUCAGGGUCAGGGCCUCGCUGGAUGAGGGGCUCUGCUCUACAGGGUAAAUAAAAGAAAAGCUUUUUGACAGCC